ensembl:lncRNA
GGCGCAGCGCGCACAGCCGGUGGCCCCCGAGCGGUGUCCUCCGGGCCGGGCGGGGGCCUCGGAACGCCCGCGGAGGGGAGCAGAGCCGGGGUCCCCAAUUCCUGUUCCCCGCGCCCCUCUCUGGCUUUGCGCCCAGCCGCGGGGUUCCCGGCCAGAGCAGGCGGCUUCCGCUCGCCGGGGCAGCAGAGGACCUGGACACUCUAAUUCCUAUGGGGAAAGCUGUCCUUUCCUUCUCUAAGGUACAAGGGUCAUCCUGACUUUGGGGAGGAGCCGGGAGUCACGUGGUGCCAGAUCCGGUGAAAAAUGUGGAAAAGGACACAGUGUAAUAUCUUCACAAGCCCACAUUUCCCUGGGAUGGCACUCAGCUCUGGCAUUCACUAUAUUUUUGAUCAUACCUUGUAAAGACAGUUGUGAAAGAGGACUUCCAAAGCUGCUUCAGAAAGUGGCAAGAACGAUAGGACAAGUGUUUUCAGAGGUAGGGGCAGUAUUUGAGGAGGUUUAAUGGCAAUGUAUCUUUUACUGUAUAAUUUUUAAAUUUUAAUUUAAACAUUUCACUGUAUUUUCUGAUCACUCCUUGUACAUCUAUUUUGAGAGUUCACGAAAACUUUUCCCUACUAAGGCCGUGGGGUGGCCAUGAGUGGCAUCUCAUGUUAACUGUUAAAAAAUAACAGUAUUAAAAUAUACAUGCAGCUUUUCUACUUCCUCACGUUCAAUAGGUUAUGUAUGUAUUCAGGUGAAAAAAGUGAAGGCUAAAUUUUAUACGUAUAUACAUAUAUUUAAUCAGUUUUUUGGCUUAUGUUUAAAUCAGUAGAUAUUGAAAGACAGGAUAUAUAUUUUUAGCAAAUCAACUUGCUUUUUUCCUACAUUUGCAAAUAAGAAGUUUUGUACCCAAACAUAUCAUUCUUCCAAUUUUUUUUAAAAAUAAAGAUCUACUUUUUAAAAAGCUGUAAUUUAAAAUUUCCUUUUGGUUAAAUAUAAUUAUGCUUAAAAUGGCAUAUCUCCACAUAUGCUUGCCUGGUAACAUUGACUAUUACUUGCCUUUUUCUGGGCUGUGAUGUAAGUGGGAAUAGGACAAUUAUAGAAUUCCGGUAACAGAGUUACCAUAUAAGGCUUGGAUGAAUGGGUGGCUUAGUUUUUUUUUUAAUUUUUAAUUUUUUAAAUUUUCUAUUUGACCUUGAGAGCAGUUGAUCACGUUUAUCUCAAACAUUUCUUAUCCACAUCUUCAAUAUUUAAUUAUAAUGCUUGGCCCAUCUGCUGUGCCUGGGACCUGGUAUUCAUCACUUGCUUUAUAAAUACAGACCCACGCCCCUUGGGCAAGGCAGCAAAAGCAGGCACCAGAAUAGGCACUUAUUGACUGCUGAUGAUUACCCUGGAUGCUGUAGGGGAUAACAAAAUUGAGAAAGAAAAUAUUUCCUGUGUUUUCAGGAAGCCUACAAUUUAGCCAGGCAGUCCAAACACAAAUCCUUUUCUGAAGAAGAAUAAAAUUAGGGCACAGAGGACUACUUGGUGUUGUUGGGAUAAUAAGUCUCACAUUACCCAAGAAACACGGAAUCGUGGAGACCAUUGUAUUCUCUCCAACCAGUGGAAAUUUUGCAGUUAAACUGGUUCAUUCAUUACUGUUAACUUGGCCGACAGAAAAGGGUUGUCAGCUCAUUUGGCGUUGGAUUUUAAAUUUCACAGAGAUGAAAUAAAACCAAAACUAAUUGGGAGUUCUUAUAAUUUCUUCUGUUGCAUGCAGUUUUGUCAGUGGUUUUUAUUACAGAAUUAUUCAGGAAUUCUGAGGUGACCAUGAUUUGAAAAGCAGCUCUGUUUAGGAGGAACGUUUGGGUCACUUCAAGGGGACCUGACGUAUGAGGUCUGACGUAUGAAGUAGUGAGCGUUUGCCUGGACAGGCCUAGCUGUUGAAUUUGCAGACACCAUGCAGAGCUCUGCUCACCCCAGUCUGUCUGAGCCGCAUCUCCACCUAUCAUGUCUGUACUCUGGGCUUCUAGGGCAUGGUAAAUUAUUUUUAAUUAGUAUUGUAGACAGUUUUUUCCAUCUGUAGAUAAUUCCUCAACAUCCAACAUAAGAACUUUGGCAGCUCAGAAGUGAGAUUUUUGUAAUAUACUCAUUUCCAUAAGUAUGAGCAAUUGCAAAGGAUUCAUUGAGGGGUAUACAUUCCUUGCAAUAUAAACAUGAAAUAUAUUUAUUUUUUCCAAUCUAAAUUUUCACCUUGCUCUCUGUCUUCCUUUUUAGCAUCCUUUAACAAUAUCUGGGGUAGAUUAUGUGGCUUUCUAGGCAUGUUUAAUUGUUAAAACUUAGUUUCACCCAGCUUGAAACUUCAAUCUUGUAUGUGAGUCAAAGCUUUCUCCCCGGUGUGACUGUGGUGUGGGGCAGAGUGUGGCUCUGACACCUUCUGGGCUUUGCUCUCUGAGGCUAAGCUCUUCCAGUUUGGGGGAAGUGGGUCAGCGUGGAGCAGUAAGGAAGCAGAGAUGUAGCCUCACGGGUCUCCUGUUGGGGGCGAUGGCGAGAAGCCCUGCUGUGACAGCCGUCAGUCCGGGGCCUGGAUGACCCUGGGCUUCUCUGUCCAUCAAGUGCUGGGUCUGUCCUCUUUGGGGAGUGGGCAGUUUCACUGUCACCCUCUUAUCCCUGGACUCCUUCAGAAUGAGGUGGUCAAAUCUUUCUUGCAUUUUGCAUCUCAUUAUUGGAAUACACGAGAACCCCCAAGUCUGUCUCUAGCACCUUCUAAUGAAUGCACAGAGCAGCAGAGCGAGUCCUCAUCUUGUCCUGCGAGGCGCAGUCCAGCAGCAUUGUCUUCUCAAGCCUGGCCAGGCUGACCACUUCGGUGGGUUUCCCAUCUUCAGAAAUCUCUCUUUUCAGAGAAGGGGCCAAUCUUUGUGCUCACAUGUUCCCUUGAACUUCAGGGGCCAUGUUCUGCACCCUCCUUCAUCUUGCCCAAGUGCACAGCAACACUGGAAAGCACUGUACAUCGCUUCUCCCUCACCAGCAUCUGGCCGUGGUGGACAUCAGGCCUUUCCAGUUUCUAUGAAAGAGGAUGGCGUGACCUCUGUCCGUGACCUCUGCAAUCUCCAGAGUGUGUGGAAACCAACAUGCUGCAGGGGACUGGGUUAAAUAUUGGAUACAUUAUAUACCAGCAGGUAACAUAGGGCUGCACUGUGGGUUUUCAGAUAGGAAGAAAAAAUGAACAAGAGUUGAAGAAUCAGAACAUGUUUGAAGACAAAGAUAUAGUCACAUUUGGUUGUGGUACAGAGAAAUAAUGAAAAAUUAGCUGCAGGAAAGAAAAAACUUUGGGACAUAUUUUGGAGGAUCUUAAAUGCCCUGCUGACAAGCUUGAAUUGAAUCUAACGUGCCAGAGACAGCCCUGAACAGAAGAGGGACAAAUGACUUGGACAUAUCUACAUUGCAUUUCAAAAACUUUUUUUGGGUAAUAGCAAGUGGUUCUGAAAGCUGUAGAAUUGGACCUGUGUGUCUGGUGCUUGGAAGAGUUAUUACAUUUAUAGUUACAGAGAGUCUGAAUGGUCUGCAUUUCUGUUAGCUGACACAAGUGGAAUGUCCUUUUUUAAAAACCAGAAAUCUCUGUUAUUGGCAAUGCCUUAGCUUUGAGCAGAUAAGUAGAUAAGCCCCAUAGUGCCAGCCCAUGAUGAUCUUCACUUGGCAUUACAGAGGUGGCAGUGUACUCUUGUACUUAGUAAAUAACUCCUCUGGUAUUGCUUCAAUGUAGAAAGAACUCUAACAACACAGUGACGAUAUGCAAUAAAUUCUUAUUGAAGACAUUAACUGUUGUGGGUUUAAAAGCAUAGUUUUCUACUAAGUCAUAACCUUUCCUGCUAUUGUUUGGAAAUAGCAUUGAUUGCUCUUGUUAUCACCAUGGUCCUCAAUACCAUGGCAAUAAACAAUAACCACAUAACAUAAAAUAAUAGUAGCAACAAGAUGCAGCACUUAUUGAGAGCUUACUACACACCUGCCAUUUUGCAAACUACUUCUCACCAGCUCAUCUGAGCCCCAGAUAGCCAUGCAGGGAAGGAAAUUGAAGCACGAAGAGGUUAAGUGUCCUGGUCAGGGAUGCAUGCCUUGUAAAGGAGGAGCCCGCAUAUGACCCAGGCGUCUGUGUGCAAGUGCUGAGCUCCUGGUAUCGCUGCCCUGGUUGGGGAGUUUGGGAGCCAGCACAGAGCAACUGCCUUGGGCAAACAUGGGCGGGAUGAGGCGGUGGCUUGCCAGGAGACUGCACUGCCUUUGUGGAGUAGCCAUGAGUUUCCACUCUGCUCAGCAGCCCGCACGCCAGCAGCACUGGGGUUCAUGGUCCCCGCUUUACUGUCAUCCCUACCUUCACCUAACUGCUGAGUACUGAAAGUCUGGCAGUGACUUGCGUAAGAGAAGCUCUCUUUACUAUUAGCCCAUUAUUCAGCAUCAAGCCUUUGGUGGAAACAUCUGGAGAUGCAGUUUUGUCAGUACAGUGAGAGUUGAGCAAACUCAGGGGACAUUUCAUUAAAAUUAAAUGAACAGGAAGAAAAUGUAUUGAUUAAUUUCAUUAAUUUUUAAAUCAACCAUGGGGCAUAAUUUUUAAAUAAUAAAAUAGGCCCAUUCUUGACAUAUAGCUUUAUGAAUUUUAACAAAUGUAGUUUAAAUUAAUUCCCAUGACAGUGAAUCAUCAACCACAAUUAAUAGGCAGAGCUUUCUAUUAUCCCAAAAUGUCUCCAAGUUCCAGUCCUUCUCAUGCCCUGUCUUUAAUCCCUGGCAAAUCAUGAUGUGUUUUUAAUCAUUGUAGAUUAUACUUUCUUUCUAAAGUUUCAUGUAAAUGGAAUCAUUUGCUCUUGUGUGAUUGAUUUUUCUUGUUCAGAAAAAUGUUUCUGCGAUUCACACGUUAUUUCAUGUAUUGGUGC